UACGUAGGGUGCGAGCGUUAAUCGGAAUUACUGGGCGUAAAGGGCGCGCAGGCGGCUCUGAAAGUCAGAUGUGAAAGCCCCGGGCUUAACCUGGGAACUGCAUUUGAUACUCUGGAGCUUGAGUACGGGAGAGGAUAGUGGAAUUCCUGGUGUAGCGGUGGAAUGCGCAGAUAUCAGGAGGAACACCAAUAGCGAAGGCAGCUCGCUGGGACGUUACUGACACUGAGGCGCGAAAGCGUGGGGAGCGAACAGG
rnacentral:rRNA from 1 species